UCCCCACCCCAGGGGGCUACACUUUGUUUUAAAAAAAGAAAAGAACGAAAAAGGGAAGGAAGGAAAGGCAGCUCAGCAAAACUAAUUAACAUAUCAAUGUUGUCUUAGGGUAAGUCUAUGUUCCACACAGUGGCUCCUUACCCAGGUAGAUAAGGAAGGGAAGUUUCCAAAUAUUUUCAAGAAUGAAAUUGCUAUUAGCAAUUAAUUACUAAUUGUACCAGUGAAGAAGUGACCUUUUAUUUUAGUCAAAUACUAACUAAGUGUCAUUCUCUGUCCUGGGGACACUUGCAGAAUGGACUGUUGUCCAUCGUUUUCAUGGGAUCAUAGACGUGAAACGGAACUCAGAAGCCUUCUAGUCCAAACCCCUCAAUUUACAAUAGAAGAAACUAGAGACAAGAAAGAUGAAGCGAAGUCGCACGGGCUCCAAGAAACACAGGUGGAAUUCGAAUCCAGCAUCUGUGACUGCAGAACCACUGUACCACACUGCUUUCCCUCCAAUUGCAGCUCCCGAAGAAAUGCACGUGAGCGCACACACAAAGUGGAAACACUCCCAUUCCAUUUGAUUACCAUUUAACAAACAAUAAAAACCAAAUCUCUUCACUGCCUGGGUGGCGGGCCUCCACACAAGGCCCUCAGAGCAACUUUCUUGGCCAAAAGAUAGAGCUUAACUUCAUUUUUUUUUUUUUUUUUAAAGAGAAGCUUAGCAUAUGUUAACUGUCCCUGGAUACCGGCACCCGCUGGAGAGUUAAGAAUGGAAAGGUAGCGCGCCCUCACCUUAAUGUUGCUGAAGAUGGUCCGCUGACAGCUGGUGAGAGUGUUCCCGCCCCGGGAUUUGCUCUGCUCAGGAAAUUGCCCAGCAUCCUGUACCUUGUGAAUGAUGGAGGCUCAAAGAUGAAAUCAAGCAGUCCCUGCCCUCAAGAAGCUUCCCAUCAGGCAGCUCACCACUGGAGGAUAUGGCCCUUUCCACCCCAUCUCACAUAACCUGCCGCAGAAAAAAGCCUGACAUACAGAUAAGGAAACAUCCUCCAAAGAGAUGGAAGAGAAAAUCAGUCUGUGUCUCUUUCUCACCUUGGGAAAAGAUAUCAAUUCCCUCAGUGCCAGACUGCUACUAUACCCCAGAAUUCAUGGUGAUCAGUAUGGAUCAGAGAAGAGAGGGCCCAGUUAAAGACCAGUUUCUACCACACUCUUGGGAAAUCAGCUCAAGGCAAAACCAGAGAACAGUGGACACCUUGACCACAAUACCGUAAUGGAAGACAACUUUGAAAGACUUCAGAAUUCUCAUUAAGACCAAUCAUGACCUCUGAAGACUGCUAACAAGGCUUGCUUCCCCUUGUUGGCAGAAUUGUAAUGGACUGGAGCUAUGGAAUCAGACCUACAUUUUCAGAUAUAGCUAAUAUGUUAGGGAAGACUUCCGGCUGGGGAGCAGGAGAGGAAGUGAGCAGGAAAUGUUUGAAGUGGGGAAAAAAAAAAAGAAGAAAAAAGCAUAUAAAACAUUUAAAAGA